CGUUGGCUUCCACACAACAUGUUUUGGAUUUCAAGAGGAAAGAUUCCCAAAAGAACCAGCUGGAGGCUUUUAUGAUCUAGCCUAGAAGUCACAAGUGGUCACAUUCACCAUUCUAUGUAUCUGUGGCAAUCACAAAGACAUACUCAGGAUCCAGGAAACAGGAUAUUUAAUCACUGCUUCAUAGGGGCAAGAUUAAGUAAUAAUGUAAGAAGAGCAUGUAGGAAGGGAGAUGAAAGUUUUAGUCAUACUGGAGCAAAACACUUCUCAUUAAAUAUUGUGGGAACAGAGACUCAAGAGAGGUAAAGUAACCUGCCCAAGUAACAAAGCUUAGCAACUAGGAGAACUGAAUAUGUUUUUACUAGAUACAAGUGAAGUUGACUAUAAACUCAUUGAACCGUGCCAUUUCAGUACAGAGACGGGAACCAGUGUAAAGGAUUGAUUACACAGAUGGAGAAUAUCAAGUAAAAGGAAAAGAAGAAGAUGAUUAAGGAUCAAGGGAGUGUAAAAGAGAGAGAGAGGGGGGG